UGAGGAAUCUUGGUCAAUGGACGCAAGUCUGAACCAGCCAUGUCGCGUGAAGGAGGACGGCCCUAAGGGUUGUAAACUUCUUUUGCAGCGGAAUAAAGUUUGCCACGAGUUGGCGAUUUGCAAGUACGCUGCGAAUAAGGAUCGGCUAACUCCGUGCCAGCAGCCGCGGUAAUACGGAGGAUCCGGGCGUUAUCCGGAUUUAUUGGGUUUAAAGGGUGCGCAGGCGGGGAUUUAGGUCGGCGGUGAAAUUUCGGGGCUCAACCUCGACAGUGCCGUUGAAACCGUUUCUCUUGAGUGCGGAUGAGGUAGGCGGAAUUUGUGGUGUAGCGGUGAAAUGCGUAGAUAUCACAAGGAACACCGAUUGCGGAGGCAGCUUACUAAACCGUUACUGACGCUCAUGCACGAAGGCGUGGGGAUCAAACAGG
rnacentral:rRNA from 2 species